AGGACGUGGUUGCCCGUCCCUCCCUUGGGGAUGCCGUCGACUGCACCCGCCUCGCCUGUGCCUGGCCUGGCUCGCCUCGUGGCGUGGGGGCGAAAAGGGACAGGCGGCGGAGCGCUUACCGGCCGUGGACAGGAGCUGCCCUAAGGGAAGCUGGAAUGGCCAGAGAAAGGUGAAGAAGAAGAAGAAGAAGAAGAGAUGGAAGGCUCUCCGGCCGGCAGCUGCCUCCCGCUGCAGGCAAGAGAGCGCCUGCCUCGCCGGGCGGAGGACAGCCGAGCGACCGGAGUGACAGCAAAGGAAAGGCGGAGAGCGGGAGAAAGAAGCGUCUGCGCUGGCAAGCUCUCCCGGCAGCGCCGAGAGCCAGAGCUGCGGUGCCGCCGCGCCGAUGCUCCGUACGUUCGCAGUAACGGGUAGAGCGGAAGGCUCUGUGGCCAGGGAAGAGCGGCACGGACACGUUCCUGCUCGCUCCGUUGCACCGGAAUUUCGACGGCUGGGUUCGGCCGCUAAAUUGAUGGCGCUACCGGAAGAAAUUUCAGAAAAAUAUGAGAAAAGCUCUGUCCAGAGAUAUGGAGACGAAAUCAGUUGUACCUCACCCUGUGACACCGGAAGACAUUGAGUAACUCGUCCUGCAGCUGGCUCCUCGGUUUUGGCGGCAGCCUGCACAUAGCAGCCCAGCUCUCCAGCAGCCUGACGGACCGACCGUGUGUCUGUUCCACGCCGGACUGGCGAGCGUGGCUCUGGGUAGGACAGCCGAGGUGCCCCAGGGCCGGGCCCCGAGCCCCGGUGCGGAGUCUCUCCCGGGACCGGCUCUGUGUGUGACUGAAUAAACGCUUGCGGUCUCUU